rnacentral:rRNA from 1 species
UGGGGAAUUUUGGACAAUGGGCGAAAGCCUGAUCCAGCAAUGCCGCGUGUGUGAAGAAGGCCUUCGGGUUGUAAAGCACUUUUGUCCGGAAAGAAAUCCUUGGCUCUAAUACAGUCGGGGGAUGACGGUACCGGAAGAAUAAGCACCGGCUAACUACGUGCCAGCAGCCGCGGUAAUACGUAGGGUGCAAGCGUUAAUCGGAAUUACUGGGCGUAAAGCGUGCGCAGGCGGUUUGCUAAGACCGAUGUGAAAUCCCCGGGCUCAACCUGGGAACUGCAUUGGUGACUGGCAGGCUAGAGUAUGGCAGAGGGGGGUAGAAUUCCACGUGUAGCAGUGAAAUGCGUAGAGAUGUGGAGGAAUACCGAUGGCGAAGGCAGCCCCCUGGGCCAAUACUGACGCUCAUGCACGAAAGCGUGGGGAGCAAACAGGAUUAGAUACCCUGGUAGUCCACGCCCUAAACGAUGUCAACUAGUUGUUGGGGACUUCAUUUCCUUAGUAACGUAGCUAACGCGUGAAGUUGACCGCCUGGGGAGUACGGUCGCAAGAUUAAAACUUAAAUUAAUGACGGGGUCAUA